rnacentral:lncRNA from 1 species
ACGAUUCCGAUAAAUGUAUUAAACUAUUGGGAAAAUCAUUUAGUCGAAACCCAGAGGAAAAAUUUAAAUUGUUGGGAAUAUUCUCCUCAUAAUAAUUGUAGUUUUCUGGUCAUACUAGGGAAGACUUAUUUCCACAACAAGAGAAAAGAGAGGUACUUAAAAAGUUUUUCAAAUAAGAGACAGCUGACUUUACAACUACUUCUGUUUCAUUCAUGGCGCAAUUGGACAGAGAUCAAUUUUAGAAGCUGGAAGUGUUUUCUUUCUACACGGAACUAACGGCGCUUUUUCCUCUUCUUGCUUGAAACAUCUUCUUGAAGUCGCUCGAAGUCUUCUUCAUUGAUGUCAGACUUUACCAAUUUGUAAGCAACGAGCUGCCGAAAUUGAGGAAUAAUUUCCUGAUACAAAUGAAAAGGUGAACAACACAUUAGGCAUGACAAAAGAGAAGUGCUGGAAACUAAACAUAGAGCAAGUAUGGAGGAAGAACAAUUUCAUGGCAACAUACAUCAUCAAAUUCCUUCAUGUUCUUCCCAUCCCAGAUAUCCAUGUACAUGAUAGCAUACAGAGCACAAUUGUGG